rfam:Fukomys damarensis contig92978, whole genome shotgun sequence.
AGCUUUGCGCAGUGGCAGUAUCAUAGCCAAUGAGGUUUAUCUGAGGAGCGAUUAUUGCUAAUUGAAACAAAGCAGGACACCGUUAGUAUUGGGAGAAGGAUUUCCUU